rnacentral:misc_RNA from 1 species
UUAAGUUCAGCGGGUAGUCCUACCUGAUUUGAGAUCAAACGUUCACAAAGCUGUCUUCACUGAGGAGAGACGUUUAUGAGCCCCAGCGAACCUCCAUCGCUGAAGGUUACCUGGUAGAAAACCACAAGCGUAGAUAGUUAUCACACUGUGAUGCCACCAAACACUGGCAAGCUGAUUCAUUUGAGAGGAGCCGACCACAG